rnacentral:rRNA from 1 species
AUGAACGCUGACGGCGUGCCUAAUACCUGCAAGUCGAGCGAACAGACGAGGAGCUUGCUCCUCUGACGUUAGCGGCGGACGGGUGAGUAACACGUGGAUAACCUACCUAUAAGACUGGGAUAACUUCGGGAAACCGGAGCUAAUACCGGAUAAUAUAUUGAACCGCAUGGUUCAAUAGUGAAAGACGGUUUUGCUGUCACUUAUAGAUGGAUCCGCGCCGCAUUAGCUAGUUGGUAAGGUAACGGCUUACCAAGGCAACGAUGCGUAGCCGACCUGAGAGGGUGAUCGGCCACACUGGAACUGAGACACGGUCCAGACUCCUACGGGAGGCAGCAGUAGGGAAUCUUCCGCAAUGGGCGAAAGCCUGACGGAGCAACGCCGCGUGAGUGAUGAAGGUCUUCGGAUCGUAAAACUCUGUUAUUAGGGAAGAACAAAUGUGUAAGUAACUAUGCACGUCUUGACGGUACCUAAUCAGAAAGCCACGGCUAACUACGUG